rnacentral:rRNA from 1 species
GACGAACGCUGGCGGCGUGCUUAACACAUGCAAGUCGAGCGAACAGACCCUGCUUUUGUUCCUUUCUCGAUUGCCGAGCACGGGUGUGACACAUGUGGAUACUCCCCUUAUCAGUCUGGGAUCAUCUGGGGACACCGGAGCUUAUACCGGAUAAUCUACUGCACCGUAUUGUUCAUUAGUGAAAGACGGUUUUUCUGUCUAUUCUCGAUGCUUCCGCGCCGCAUUAGUUAGUUGGUAAGGUAACGGCUUAUUAAGGCAACGAUGCGUAGCCGACCUGAGAGGGUGAUCGGCCACACUGGAACUGAGACACGGUCCAGACUCCUACGGGAGGCAGCAGUAGGGAAUCUUCCGCAAUGGGCGAAAGCCUGACGGAGCAACGCCGCGUGAGUGAUGAAGGUCUUCGGAUCGUAAAACUCUGUUAUUAGGGAAGAACAAAUGUGUAAGUAACUAUGCACGUCUUGACGGUACCUAAUCAGAAAGCCACGGCUAACUACGUG